GUCGCAUGCUCCCGGCCGCCAUGGCGGCCGCGGGAAUUCGAUUUACCUUUUGGUUCGGAACAACACAGGGAAACUUGUGCUAAUACCGGAUAAGCCCUUACGGGGAAAGAUUUAUCGCCGAAAGAUCGGCCCGCGUCUGAUUAGCUAGUUGGUGAGGUAAUGGCUCACCAAGGCGACGAUCAGUAGCUGGUCUGAGAGGAUGAUCAGCCACAUUGGGACUGAGACACGGCCCAAACUCCUACGGGAGGCAGCAGUGGGGAAUAUUGGACAAUGGGGGCAACCCUGAUCCAGCCAUGCCGCGUGAGUGAUGAAGGCCCUAGGGUUGUAAAGCUCUUUUGUGCGGGAAGAUAAUGACGGUACCGCAAGAAUAAGCCCCGGCUAACUUCGUGCCAGCAGCCGCGGUAAUACGAAUCACUAGUGAAUUCGCGGCCGCCUGCAGGUCGACCAUAUGGGAGAGCUCCC
rnacentral:rRNA from 1 species